UUUUUUUUUGUUACGUCGUAUCUACUCUCCUUUACCAUGAAUAGAUAACAGAAUUUUUCCAGAAAGAACUCUAACCUCUAAAUUCUUUUCCUCCCUUUACUGGAACUGUCGUCUAAACAAAUGAAUUUUAACAUUUGUAGAAUUAUUUACAUCAUGAAUUUGAUUUAAGGACAUGAGGGGACAUCUGAGGAGUUUACAUUAUUUUGAUACGGAGGUAAUACUAGAUAGAUCAUUCAGUAGUCGCAAAAAAGAAAAGGUUGAGCAUUCAGGUAGAUAUAAAAUGUCUGUGCAAAGAAAUUAUCAUUUCUCUCUUCCAUGCUGGAUUCUUCAAGGAGUUAUGGCAGGCUGUGGUCUUUACUCCGUCAUACCAAUGAUUGGCUAUAGAAACAGGGAGAUUUCAGUGAAGUCCUGAAAUUGGUCAUCAUGAUGAAUUUGUACCAAUGUCCACCAGAUUAUGAUCAGACUGAUCUGGUCUGUUAUUCACAAUCAUGUUUCUUCACAGUAUACCAAUCGAAAACAAAAGAGGUUCGAAGAUUUAGAAGUCACUCUUCUGUUUCCAGCCAUGUUUAUUUUAGAUGUUAGGCUAAAAGUUCUAACAAAAUAACCAUGAUAAGUGAUCUAGCAUCCUUUGGGGAAGAAGUUUAUGGAUUUGAUCAUUAGCAUGCUACGCUACAGGUUGAAAUUAAUUAUCUCUGAUGUAUAUUGUGUUUUGUGUAUAUGACACAGGAUGAAUUGAAUGAGCUUGAAACCAUGGAACCUGCAUCUGCGGCAUGCCGGGAGUAAGUAAUUUCAAGUAUAUCGCAUAUGUUUCCCGUGCUCUUGCAUUCCAGUUUGUGAUUGUUUUUCCUCUUGACUAAGCCAGGGUGAUCACAAGUACUGAAGGAAAACCUGACCCGCUUCUUCCAAUGUAAGUGCCACCACAUCUUAUUCUUGCCAGUAUCUCACCCUAGGAAAUCUGACCGUAUGAGCACACACACACAAAGUGUAACACGGUCGCAUUUUUGCAGCACAAGUAGCCCGGAGAACUCUUCAUGGGACAGGUGGUUCCAGCGCGUGCGAAGCUCUCGCAGCAACAAAUGGUGGCAAUCCAAAGGCUCCGAUUUUGCCUAGCUUUCGCCGAAGCUGAGACAAGCUGUGUGCAGAUUGAAUCGACCCCAAUCCGUAUGGUCCAUCGUUGGCCUGGCAACAGAAUACAACCCAGUUUUCUUGAGAAUCGUUGUGUAUGUAAUCCCUAACAAAAACAUGAAUGUAUCCUCAUUAGUCCUGAUUGCUGUCCAGAAAAUAGUCCUGUAAUUCAUCUCCCUCAGGUGCUGACUAGCUAUGUUCGAUUCUGGUGGUCUUGGAGCAAAAUGGUCCUGUACUUUUGGGCAAGUUUGUUGACCUUUGAGCAAAAUUUCUCAUGUGCAUCUAAUUUUGUCGAAAAUUGCGGAAGCACCGCCUUUCGUUCGAUUUGGCUAGUUGUGUUUAUUCAGUGAUGAAUGAUAUCUCCAAACAUGAUUGUGUAAAAUAUUGGGUCCACGAUCUCUCACUGUCGUGUGGGGACCGCAUGUAAGAGUACACCCGAAGCAUCUCUCGCUGUCAUGUGGGACCAGCUUGCAGGAGGGUCUACUUGGAUCAUGAGCGCCAUCAUCCAUCCACAUCCACUCUUCGAUUCUCCGCUUCUCGCCAACCUCAACCCGCCAUGGCCUCCACCGUGGCCUUCACCCCCGCCGUCGCCGUCGGCGCCAAUGUGCAGCACUCUCGGAGGACCUCUUCGCUGCGGCCCGUCCCGAGAGCCAGGCCCGUGGCCGCGAGGGCCAGCGCCGAGCGGGACGGGGCCGCGGCGGCCGUCCAGGCGCGGUCGGGGCGGACCAUCGAGGAGUGCGAGGCGGACGCCGUCGCCGGGAAGUUCCCCGCCGCGCCGCCGCCGACCAGGCCGCAGGCGCCCAACGGCACCCCGGAGAUCAGGCCCCUCGUACGUCACAUCCCCUCUCAUCCGGGCAUUUGCCCAAGUUCCAAUCGCUGUGCUGAAUUGUGGCCAUGUGGGUGUUUGUUUGAUGUGUGUGUGCAGGACAUGGCGAAGCGCCCUCGCCGGAACCGGAGGUCGCCGGCGCUCCGGGCAGCGUUCCAGGAGACCAGCAUUACCCCCGCGAACCUCGUCCUCCCUCUGUUCAUCCACGAAGGUUGGUGAUUGGGAUACUGAAACAUGGUUGGUGCAAGCAACUGAGAUUGGUGGGUACAGUUUGGUUGAUUGGUAGUUUGGUACUGAUGUGCAGGUGAAGAAGACACUCCCAUUGGAGCUAUGCCUGGGUGCUUCAGGCUUGGAUGGAGGCACGGGCUUCUGGAAGAGGUACCGAGCUUACCGCAGUUUACAUGAUUCGGUGCCAUUGGAGCUAUGCCUGAAUUAUGAUACAUUAGGUGAUUUUCUGUAGUAAGGACAUUGCUGUCCAUAUAACUUCAAUAUCACCAUACUAGAAACAGUGCAUGUAUAUCCAUACGAGUUUACGACGAUAGUUAAUAAUGCGCUGGAAAAUUAGCAACUAUUGUCACACCCUCUUGUUCAAGUCUUAGUUAGCUACAUCUAUCUUCAGGAAGAAAUCAGUUUUGUUGAACUGCUAUUAUUCACAGGUGUACAAGUCACGCGAUGUUGGUGUUAACAGCUUUGUGCUAUUUCCAAAGGUUCCUGAUGGAUUAAAGGUUUUGCCAGAAACAUAAGUUUUUUUCGUCUAAUUGAAUUGCAUAGAUCAUAUGGAAUAACAUAGACGUCCUUUGUCCAUCAGACGCAAACUGGAGAUGAGGCAUAUAAUGAUAAUGGUUUAGUGCCGCGAACAAUCCAUCUGCUCAAGGAUAAGUACCCUGACAUUGUGAGUCAUGUGUUACAUUUGAUAAUCAUUGUCACAUUACAUCAUUUAUGCUAAAUGCUAACAUGUCCGCUUCUCACCAUACUACCUGUUUAGGUUAUCUACACUGAUGUUGCUUUGGAUCCGUAUUCUUCUGAUGGUCAUGAUGGCAUUGUGAGGGAAGAUGGUUAGAAUUUAUUCCUUGCAGAUUUGCUCCCAGAGAGAUAAUAUUUGAAGUUUACUUCCAUUCAUUGCUUCAGUUCAGUGUGAUAUCCUGAGAAUUUUACUUUGCAUAUGCUAACAAUCUAAUCAUAUUAAUAUAACACUCAUUGCUUAAUACUGCUACUGUUGUAGACUUGUAGUGCCAUACUGAUUAAAGAAAACUUUAUUUCUUCUAUCGAGACCAAGAGAGCAUACCUGAUUUGGAAGAAUGUUGAGAAAAAGUAGUGUUGUAUAGGCUUUACAGGCAUAUGAGCCCGUUAGAUCAUGCUUGAGUUGCACUGUUAGAGUAUACCUGAUUUUUUUUACAUUAUGUUGGAUGAUGUUACCGGAGGCUGCAGUUAUUACUUUUUAAUCAUAGUUUGUGUGAUUGAUAUUGAUUUAUACUUUCCGAAGUAAGCAGCUUUGGAGGAGUUUUGUGACUGAUAAAUGAGUUCCAUCAAAGUUCAACUAGAUGCUGUUUGUAUAGAAAUGAAAGGAAUAGAACAUCAAUCUGUUACUUCUGACCAUGUAGAUUAUGGGAAAAAAUUGCUCGUUUCCCCCCUGUUUACAUAUGAGCUGAGGGCACCCCCUGUUUACAUAUGAGCUGAGGGCAUUAAAUUCCACAACGGAGAUGUUUGCAUGCCAAGUCAAUUGGAUGUGCAUUCCAGUUUAGUAGUUCGUACCAAUAAAAGUAUGUUGGUAGAAAUGUGCUCUUUUUCUCGAUAAUGGCACUUAUUAAUAACCAUGUUUCCAUUGGCCUUUUAUCCCACUGCAGGAGUCAUCAUGAACGAUGAAACAGUCCAUCAGCUGUGCAAGCAGGCAGUUUCCCAGGUUCCCUUUCCUGAAUCGGCCUUGUAGUCAUGGGCCUCCUGGCUUAGUAUACCUUUGAGUACAUACUUAUAGGAAACUUUGCUGUUGCUAAAUAGGCUCGAGCUGGUGCUGAUGUUGUCAGUCCUAGUGACAUGAUGGAUGGUCGUGUUGGAGCAAUUCGGGCUGCUUUAGAUGCGGAGGGUUUCCAUGAUGUCUCCAUCAUGUCCUACACUGCCAAGUACAUACCUGUCCUGAAAUAGAACCUACUGUUGUCUUAUUAUAUUUGAUAAUUUUCUUCUCCCCUUGACUACAAAUUGCAAGUAGGAUCAUGUGUAUGAUGUAUAAGCUAUGAUAUUGCAGGUAUGCUAGUUCAUUUUAUGGUCCAUUCCGUGAAGCUUUGGAUUCAAAUCCACGAUUUGGAGACAAGAAGACGUAUGUACCUAACCUUAAAACUUGUAGUUACAUCCAGUGUAUAAUUUAAAAUCAUUAUAUCUAAGUGACCUAGUACACGCUUUGUUGAUUCUCAAGUUAUCAGAUGAACCCAGCCAAUUACAGAGAAGCCCUUAUAGAAACUGCAGCAGAUGAAGCAGAAGGAGCAGACAUUCUUCUGGUAAUUCUGUUACUUUGUAUACAGAGUGCUCGAUCAUCAAAGUCUUUGUUUGUUUCCUUGCUUGUGUAGCGUACUAAAAGCUAUGUUAUCAUUUGUCAGGUGAAACCUGGAUUACCAUACCUGGAUAUUAUCCGACUUCUACGGGAUAAUUCAGCCCUGCCGAUUGCUGCAUACCAGGUUAGUUUGCAAGCUUUUUUACCUGCAACCACAUCUUCCAUAUUUCACGUGAAAGCAGAAACCAUUUUCUUAGCGUCAGGUACAAUGUUGUUGAUGAAGCCAUUUUCAGGGCCACAUGUACUGCAUAGUGCCACCUAGAUUCGUCUUGUUAUUUUCUCUUUACCCAGAAGGAGAUUUAGGUUCAUGUGUAACAAAAGGACUGGCGGCCAAAUGAUCUUUAGCAAUAAGCAAAGCAGACAUUUUCGAUAUCGUUUUCUCAGAAAUAGCUUCUGGCCUCCCCUUGAACCCUGUCCCUGUCUAUAACACCACCCUGAAACUGAUCUCCAAUAUGAAUGCUCCGGAGAAUCCCCUUGAAUCUGUUUUGCACGUCCUCCAAUGCGUAUCGCCUGCCUGACCCUACUACACGUGAUCAUUUGAGAUGCACUAGUAAUCUGUCAAACAGAUCAAUGCCACUUAUUUCGACGCAUUUGUUUGUAACCGCAUGAUGGUUGCUGUGUUCAGGUGUCGGGCGAGUACUCGAUGAUCAAGGCCGGCGGCGUGCUGAAGAUGGUGGACGAGGAGAAGGUGAUGAUGGAGUCGCUGCUGUGCCUGCGGCGCGCCGGCGCCGACAUCAUCCUCACCUACUUCGCCCGCCAGGCCGCCAACGUCCUCUGCGGCAGCAAGCGGCCGUAGCUCAUCACGGAAGUCGAUUUCUUGUAGUAGUAGCACCAUGGCCAUGGCGCUUCACUGCAUUGCAGAGUAUGUGGCGCGGCACGGCCAUGCUCUCCGGUAGAUAGAGGUUUGUCACCGGCUUCGGUUUGGUGUAAUUAACGAGGCUUUAUUUUUAACUGAUUUUAGGGGUGGUUUUUUAGAACUGAUGAGAGGUUUGCGAGAAGGAGACGCUCGUUCGUGAGCACUGACAGGUGGGCCCGCCAGGCCUGCCUGCGUGGGCCGGGCCGCCGGGCUGCAUGCACGGGUCAGCUUGACGUUCCGGUGACAUCACCGGCUUUUUUGAAUUGCACGCGACCUGGGGCACCGCCCCCCUGCUCUGCUCCCACUGUGUGCUCUGCUUCCGUAAAUUUCUCCGGGGCUCACACGCACGCAGAACACCUGCACACACAACAGCGCCAGCACAUUCAGGGCCGGACGGCGUCUGCACACUCCUGCGCCACCACCACCACUGCUCCUCCUCUAUUAUUUGCAUCAUGACAUUUCACACCGUCUCUUUUCUAGUAUAACCGCGAACGCUUCGCACCGUCUCUCUUUUAGAACCAUUUCACACUGCCUGUUAACAGGAGUACUACUGUCUACUGUACUUACUAUAUAUUUCCCUCGCAGAAAAGAAAAGACAAUGGAAAUCUCAGGUCCCCUCCUCGCUUCUUGUUUGACUAUUUUCCUACCACGUGUUUGGUUUACCGAACACACAUGCCGAUGCCGCACGCUCGUUUUCUUUCCACCAUUUUUUUUGCUUCAAAGGAUCAGUGUGCGGGUGCCCGCUACACUUGUUCGGAAACUUCAUAUGGUCGUCGCUAUGGGCCGGGAUCACCAGAUCAGAUCAUGAGAGUAGUGGAAGGUCAACGGUGGGUGCUGAGGCAGACCCAGUUGACCCAAGGCCCCAAACCAAUACUGGCUCACUGGUCGCUGCCUGCUUUCUUCUUCCUUACUACGAGUAGCAUUUGGCAAAUGGGACGUACAUGAGCAAACGUGUACUUUGCUCCGGUGGACGUACAUGAGCAAACAUCUAACUACACAUUUUCUUUCGGAAUCUCAUCUGAGAACACUUGAUUACUGCCUGUUUACAAGAGGUCCGUACUGCUACAACUUAGGACAGUGUUAUUUUAUCUUGGAUCCGCCGCCGCCCCACGAUGAAAUGAUGCCCAGCAGCAGGCCAGCACCCACCAGCCACUUCCUCGCCAUUCACAGCGAGCGCUCGCUCGCUCGCUCGCUCAGUCCCCCUUGUCUGUCUCCAUGGAUGGAUCGAUGGGCACCGACAGCGACACCACUUGCCCCUACCCCGCCUGCUUUGCCCUUGGCGCCUUGCCAAUGGCCAAUGCCGUCUACCCAUGCGUGACGGCCGGACCGGCCCAGUGCCGGGCCCUCCAUGAUAGAAAUGCCCAUGCAUGCAUGUACGUACGUCGUCCUCUUCCCCCUCCCCCCACCCCCACGACAAGUACAACAGCAAGGUGGCGGAUGCGCUGGCGAGCGGGCGCACGGAAUGGAUGUCUGAUUUGUUGCAGCAUCGCGCGGCUGGCGUGAGCCGGGAAAAUGCCAUGGCCUUUUCAUGUGCAGUUCUGAGUUCUGGGGGAGGGACCAACCCGUGUGCGCCCCGCACCUGCGCCUGCUCCCUCGAAACGCCGCAUUUUCAUCUUGAUCCGAUUCCUCUUUUGCGCGGGGAGAAUUUCGAUCUGAAAUUACGAGAAGGAAGAGCGAAUUGAUGCCCAACAUUCUCCCUCUCGGUUUCAUUGCUGCUCUUUUUGGCCGCUGCGCUUCUGCGUCUCCUCUACGAGUAAUCAACCCGUGUUCAGAGUUAGGAGGAGUACACUUUUGAUCAUCAUGUAUCAGAUCGAGAUGUUUUACUGCAGUAGAUGAAGGUGCCACUCAUUCUGUUAUUGCAGGCUCGAAGAUUACACAUCCAAAUUAAUUUAAUAAAUCCGGGCAGAAAGAAUACAUAGGAGGGCCUCUUUUAACUCCAUCCAAUCUCUCUCUCUGUAGAUCGUGGAUCGAAUACUCGCAACAAAUUCAGAAGAAGGAAGAAGAAGAGAUGAAAAAGAAAUCCAAGGUGGAAAAAAAAUACUACGGGUGACGGCGGAGCGAGCGCGAGGUGAGGUAUUAUACUGGCGGCGAUCGGCUGUUGGCGGCGGCUCCGGCGGUGGAUCGGGAGGAAUUAGUUGUACGGCUUCAUUGGCGGCGGCGGCGACCCGUAUGCCACGCCGUACACCGGCGGGAACGGCAGGUUCGCGCCGGCCGGCGUCGGGUGCCCGGUGCUGCCGCCCUGGGACGGCGGCGCGCAGUGCUCGGGCGUGGACGGCGUUGUUGCUCCCGACGACGGCGAGGACGGGGUGCCUGGGUGCGUCUCUGAUGGAGGCGUGGUGGUGGCUGGUGUCCCCGGCGAGUGGGGAGGCAGCGCGUAGCCGGGGUACUCCGUGGGCGGCGACGGCGUCUGGUGGCUGCCGGAGGGCGUCGUGGGGCCGUACGAGCCCGGAGGCGGCGCGUACCGCCCGUCUGGCUUGUCGGCCGAGGUUGGGGGAGGCGGCGCGUGGCCUCCUACUGGCAUCGGGGUGCCUGACGAAGGAGACGGGUACGACGGGGUCCCCGGCGUGCUCUGCGGCGGCGAGUGGGAUGACGGGGUGCUGGAGCUGGACGGCGGCGUCNNNNNNNNNNNNNNNNNNNNNNNNNNNNNNNNNNNNNNNNNNNNNNNNNNNNNNNNNNNNNNNNNNNNNNNNNNNNNNNNNNNNNNNNNNNNNNNNNNNNNNNNNNNNNNNNNNNNNNNNNNNNNNNNNNNNNNNNNNNNNNNNNNNNNNNNNNNNNNNNNNNNNNNNNNNNNNNNNNNNNNNNNNNNNNNNNNNNNNNNNNNNNNNNNNNNNNNNNNNNNNNNNNNNNNNNNNNNNNNNNNGUACGACGGGGUGCUGGAGCUCGACGGAGGCGUCGGGUACGACGGCGUGGUCGAGCCGGGUGGCGAUGGCGUGGUGGAUCCCUGGGGCGGCGAGUGGUACGACGGGGUGCUGGAGCUGGACGGCGGCGUCGGGUACGACGGCGUGGUCGAGCCUGGUGGCGAUGGCGUGGUGGAUCCCUGGGGUGGCGAGUGGUAUGACGGGGUGCUGGAGCUCGACGGUGGCGACGGGUAGGACGGGGUGGUGGAUCCCUGAUGCGGCGAGGGGUAUGCCGGCGUGCCGGAGCCCUUGGGAGGCGAGUGGGACGACGGAGUGGUCGUGCUUGACGGCGGCGACGGGUAGGACGGGCUGGAAGGCUUGCCACCACCGGGCGUGGUGGGAGUGGCAGGAGUGUACGCCGGGAACUGGCAUUGCGCCUUGCUGCAGUCGAACGGGUGGGAGGCCGCGGCGGCGCACUGCGCCGCCGGCCGCUGCGCGGGCGCGCCGGGGAUGCAGUUCCACGCGCCGUCGGCGGUGGCCUGCGCGCAGCCGGGGCGCGAGGUGAUGAAGUUGUCGGUGUAGGUGAAGUUCUUGAGCCCGGCGAGGCCGCAGACGGCGGCCGGCACGGCGCCCUCGAAGAGGUUCCCGGCGACGUCGAGCUCCUCGACGGCCGCCAUCCCGCCGACGGCCGCGGGGAGGGCCCCCUGGAGCCGGUUGCCGCUGACAUCAAACACCGUCACCUUCUUCAGCAGCCCCACCUGCGGCGGGACGCAGCCGGUGAGCAUGUCGUCGAUGAGCACGAUCUCGUUGAGCGUGUCCGCCAUCCUGCCGAUGGAGGGCGGGAUGCACCCGCCGAGCCGAUUGUGCGCGAGCACGACGACGGAGGCCGGCGAGUUGCCGAGGUUGGCGGGGAUGGGGUUGCGCAGGCGGUUGGAGUUGAGGAAGAUGGCGUCGAGCGGGCGGUCGAAGAGCGCCGGCGGGAUGGAGCCCUCGAAGUCAUUGAAGCGGAGGUCGAGGUACCUGAGGGACGGCAGCGCGAGCACCACCUCCGGGAAGGCGCCGACGAAGCGGUUGUUGCUGAGGUCGAGCUCGUGGAGCAGGCGCAAGCGGCGGAAGGUGUCGGGCACGACGCCGCAGAAGCGGUUGGAGUUGAGGUGCAGCAGCGCCAGGUCCGGGAGCCCCAGCGGGAGGGAGGCGGGGAUGUAGCCGGCGAUGUCGGCGUGGUUG
rnacentral:lncRNA from 1 species